CUUGGCCAAUAGGAAUCACUUCCAGCUCAAGACUGGGCGAGGGGGAAGAGCCUCGGCCGCCGGCGGGGAGCGGGACGCGCCGGCCUGGCUGCGCGGUGUGAAGGUAUGAGGAGGCGGCCUCCGCAGAGCGGGGAUUCAGGCGACCACUCACGUUCACAGACGGAGCUGCUGCGCAGACGAUGUUUGACAUGGAAAUUGCUUGGCUGGGAACCUAAAAUUGUGGCUGACAUACAGUAGGUCCUCUGCAUUGGCUGGCUGGCUGAAUGAAAACUGGCUUCUACCACUUACUGCAUAUAGCAUCAAAACUUCAGAUGAAAUCCUGGACAUUGCUGCAUAUGCUAUCAGAACUUUGAAGAUUACAGAGUGGCAGUGAGGAGCUGAGUCACUGGAUUUCCAGAGCAUAGGAACCACCACCUCAGGUAGCAGAGGAGAACAUCAGAAAGACCACGGUGCUGGGGGUCAGCAGAUGCCGCCCUUCUGCCAUCUUGCUCCGCGGCUGACCCCCGUGGGACUAGGUUGGCCACCCACUGGCUGGCAGCCUUGGGCAAUUCACUCAACUCCUCUAGUCUUAUUUUCUUCAUCUGUACCAAUAGUGCUUCCCUCCAAAGCUGUUGGAAGGAUUAAAUAAAAUAAUAUAUG